CAGCAGCGCGGUAAAACGUAGGUCCCGAGCGUUGUCCGGAUUUAUUGGGCGUAAAGCGAGCGCAGGCGGUUAGAUAAGUCUGAAGUUAAAGGCUGUGGCUUAACCAUAGUACGCUUUGGAAACUGUUUAACUUGAGUGCAAGAGGGGAGAGUGGAAUUCCAUGUGUAGCGGUGAAAUGCGUAGAUAUAUGGAGGAACACCGGUGGCGAAAGCGGCUUUCUGGUCUGUAACUGACGCUGAUGUGCGAAAGCGUGGGGAGCAAACAGGAUUAGAUACCCGCGUAGUCCCUGUCUCUUAUACAC
rnacentral:rRNA from 1 species